rnacentral:misc_RNA from 1 species
AAGGAAAUGAACGGGUUGUCCAGAAUCAAUCUGUUGGAACAUUGUGCUCUGCUCCUUGGUGGAGUAAUGGUUUUAUGUCUCAAUCUGUGGCUUAUGCUGAGCCUUUUGGACAAUUGAAAUCUGCAUCUGUGGAGCAGCAGCCUAAGGGGAAUGCAACAGAGUUCACUAUUUCCUCUGGUGAUUGCAAAUCUUCGGCAAAUGGGCAAAAACUUCCG